UCUCUAUGACGAUUAAUUCAUGAUGACGAGUCUGAUUAUCCAUUCUUAUAAUAAAAUCAUGACGACAAAUCGAGGCAUUUGUCUGAGAGAAACAAAUAUUUUAUUUUAAUUAUUCUUUGAUUUUGCGUUUUUUAUUUUGUAAUUUGAGGAAAUGAUGGAUCUGAAAUGGUGUAAUGAUGAUGAAAGUUAUUUGACAAUGUCUUCUGAAGCAUGAAUAAUGCUGAGUGAUUGAACAAAUAUCCUCCUACUCAUUCUGA
rnacentral:lncRNA from 1 species